UCUUGGUCAUUUAGAGGAAGUAAAAGUCGUAACAAGGUCUCCGUUGGUGAACCAGCGGAGGGAUCAUUACCGAGUUUACAACUCCCAAACCCCUGUGAACAUACCACUUGUUGCCUCGGCGGAUCAGCCCGCUCCCGGUAAAACGGGACGGCCCGCCAGAGGACCCCUAAACUCUGUUUCUAUAUGUAACUUCUGAGUAAAACCAUAAAUAAAUCAAAACUUUCAACAACGGAUCUCUUGGUUCUGGCAUCGAUGAAGAACGCAGCAAAAUGCGAUAAGUAAUGUGAAUUGCAGAAUUCAGUGAAUCAUCGAAUCUUUGAACGCACAUUGCGCCCGCCAGUAUUCUGGCGGGCAUGCCUGUUCGAGCGUCAUUUCAACCCUCAAGCACAGCUUGGUGUUGGGACUCGCGUUAAUUCGCGUUCCCCAAAUUGAUUGGCGGUCACGUCGAGCUUCCAUAGCGUAGUAGUAAAACCCUCGUUACUGGUAAUCGUCGCGGCCACGCCGUUAAACCCCAACUUCUGAAUGUUGACCUCGGAUCAGGUAGGAAUACCCGCUGAACUUAAGCAUAUCAAUAAGCGGAGGA
rnacentral:rRNA from 1 species